rnacentral:rRNA from 1 species
UACGAAGGGGGCGAGCGUUGUUCGGAUUUACUGGGCGUAAAGGGCGCGCAGGCGGCUAUCCAAGUCAGGCGUGAAAGCCCCGGGCUUAACCUGGGAGGUGCGUCUGGGACUGGGUGGCUAGAGUUCGGGAGAGGAGAGUGGAAUUCCCAGUGUAGUGGUGAAAUACGUAGAGAUUGGGAAGAACACCAGUGGCGAAGGCGGCUAUCUGGACGGUUUCUGACGCUAAGACGCGAAAGCGUGGGGAGCAAACAGG